AUGUGGAUGAGCCUGGAGCAAUCAGAGGAUGGGUCAGUGUUUGUGUCUGGGCCUCAGACAGCAAAAGCCACCACACACUGGGAUGUGGAACCACCAGGGACCUGGCUGGGCAGCACCAGGGGGUCUGGGACACCAGUAAAGGCUUCCUGGAGAGGCAUCCUAGGCUGGGAGAGGACAGCCUGGGAAGACAUUGAGACAGCCUGCUGUUCUGUACUCAGCCCAAGAGCCCCUGGCCGGUUCCAGCGGACCACAGUCAGCAGCCAUCUACCUCAGCGCGCCCUGCUACCUCCUCUUUCUGUAGGCAAUCACUGACCUGUUUUCUGUGUCUAUAGAUGAGUUUGCAUUUUAAGAAUUUUAUAUAUUUAGAAUGAUAAGCCUGUAUUCUUUUGCUUUCUUUUUCUUUUCCUGAUUUUUAUUUUUAUGUUAAGUGGAUCAUAGUUUGUUUCUUUUUAUUUGGUGAGUAGUAAUGGAUUGUGUGAAUAUAUUAUAAUUUGUAAAUCCAUCCUCCUGGUGAUGGACAUUAGGUUAUUUCAGAUAAAUAAAGCUUUUUUUAAUUAAAUAAAGCUGCCACAAACAUUUGGGUAUAAGUCUUUUGUGCACUUACGUAUUGAUUUUUCUAGGGAAAAUAUCU
rnacentral:lncRNA from 1 species